GGUCACUGAGAUGGGAAUUGUAAAGCCCUCAGCACGUUGCCUGGCAUCCAGGAAGCUUCUCUAAAUGUUGGCUCUUCUUGGAGAUGGACCCCAACGCCCUCCCUAGUCUGGAGGAGGAGAGAUCAGCUCUGAGAAUGGGAAACAAAAUCCUCACAAGUUACAUCUAUCAAAAUUAUCCAAACAGUUUGAACCUGAUUGAUGCCUGUUGUCAGAAGGCAGAAGAUUGGUAAGGACUAGGCAAUGGGGGUUAAAUGACCUGCCCCAGGCCACACUGCCAGGAAGUGUCUGAGGCAAGAUUUCAACCAAGAACUUCCCGUCUCUUGACCUGGCUCUCAAUCCACUGAGCCACUGAGUUGCCCUCCCAUAGUGAGGGUGGGUUUUUGGAACCCCAAAUUUGGCUAAAGAGUUGCAUGGAGUUGGAUUUUUCUCCUGACUCCCAGAUGAGAUAAAUGAAAGAAUCAAUACAGUCACAAGAUAUCCUUUUAAAGUAGCUAUGGUUUAGUUCUGGUUUGGAAAAGUCUCUUCCUUCAUUCCUUCUCCCCCUCUGCUAUCCCCUGCUCCCAGUCCACGUGGAGGCUAAUCGUAGCCUAAGGAAAAAUCACCUCCGCUUUUACCAGCCAGUGGAAGUGAGUCCUGGGCCUGGGGAGAUGAUCCAGAAUUGCUGGGCCGGGGCUCGGACAAGGUGAGCAGCAAUAGCCAGGAGCAGGAGCCAGAGCAGGGAGCCGGGGUCGGGAAUGAGAUGAGUCAAGAGGCUUGCUAAAAAGUCUUGGAGAAA